rnacentral:rRNA from 2 species
AUCUUCAUUAGCUUGCUUUUGAAGAUCAGCGGCGGACGGGUGAGUAACACGUGGGCAACCUGCCUGUAAGACUGGGAUAACUUCGGGAAACCGGAGCUAAUACCGGAUAAUCCUUUCCCUCACAUGAGGGAAAGCUGAAAGACGGUUUCGGCUGUCACUUACAGAUGGGCCCGCGGCGCAUUAGCUAGUUGGUGAGGUAACGGCUCACCAAGGCAACGAUGCGUAGCCGACCUGAGAGGGUGAUCGGCCACACUGGGACUGAGACACGGCCCAGACUCCUACGGGAGGCAGCAGUAGGGAAUCUUCCGCAAUGGACGAAAGUCUGACGGAGCAACGCCGCGUGAGCGAUGAAGGCCUUCGGGUCGUAAAGCUCUGUUGUCAGGGAAGAACAAGUACCGGAGUAACUGCCGGUACCUUGACGGUACCUGACCAGAAAGCCACGGCUAACUACGUGCCAGCAGCCGCGGUAAUACGUAGGUGGCAAGCGUUGUCCGGAAUUAUUGGGCGUAAAGCGCGCGCAGGCGGUUCCUUAAGUCUGAUGUGAAAGCCCCCGGCUCAACCGGGGAGGGUCAUUGGAAACUGGGGAACUUGAGUGCAGAAGAGGAGAGCGGAAUUCCACGUGUAGCGGUGAAAUGCGUAGAGAUGUGGAGGAACACCAGUGGCGAAGGCGGCUCUCUGGUCUGUAACUGACGCUGAGGCGCGAAAGCGUGGGGAGCGAACAGGAUUAGAUACCCUGGUAGUCCACGCCGUAAACGAUGAGUGCUAAGUGUUAGAGGGUUUCCGCCCUUUAGUGCUGCAGCAAACGCAUUAAGCACUCCGCCUGGGGAGUACGGCCGCAAGGCUGAAACUCAAAGGAAUUGACGGGGGCCCGCACAAGCGGUGGAGCAUGUGGUUUAAUUCGAAGCAACGCGAAGAACCUUACCAGGUCUUGACAUCCUCUGACAACCCUAGAGAUAGGGCGUUCCCCUUCGGGGGA